rnacentral:rRNA from 1 species
UACAGGGGGUGCAAACGUUGCUCGGAAUCAUUGGGCGUAAAGCGCACGUAGGCGGUUUGUUAUGUCGGAUGUGAAAGCCCUUGGCUCAACUGAGGAAGUGCAUCCGAAACUGGCAAGCUAGAGUACUAAAGAGGAUCGCGGAAUUCCCGGUGUAGAGGUGAAAUUCGUAGAUAUCGGGAGGAACACCGGUGGCGAAGGCGGCGAUCUGGGUAGAUACUGACGCUGAGACACGAAAGCGUGGGGAGCAAACAGG